UUCAAAACAGUAAAUAGCGGUAAGAUAGAAAGAAGAGAUGAAUCGAGGUUAGGGUUAGGGUUAGGGUUAGAGAGAGAAGCUCAUAGAUGAGGACAAACUGAGAGAGGGGAGGCAAAUAAACAUUGAGACGGAAGAGAUGACACCAAAUUGACCACAAUGCCCUGUCCAACCCUCUGCUGUGACCUACUGGAAACCCUCAGCAUUCUCACUUUGCAGGUGACACAAAAUAGACCACAAUGCCCUGUCCAACCCCCUACUGGAAACCUGAGGUAAAUAAAUCAUUAACAUUUGCAUGAAAGAAGGAUAGUGACUUUUGUUCAUCCCUUGUUUGGAGUAUCUCAUUAUGCAAUAUAAGGUACAUUAGCCCAGUAGAUGCAGGGGCCCCAAAAUUACUGUUCGCCUGGAGCCCCCAAAGGGCUAAGAUCGCCACUGGGGAUAAGCAGCACAGCAGUCAGGUAGCUAUUUAAAGCUAUAAUAAACAGCGUAUUUUGUUUAUUUAGUUAAAGCAUUAUGAAAAAAUGUGCAUGCACAA